UACGGAGGAUCCAAGCGUUAAUCGGAAUUACUGGGCGUAAAGCGUGCGCAGGCGGUGAUGUAAGACAGAUGUGAAAUCCCCGGGCUCAACCUGGGAACUGCAUUUGUGACUGCAUCGCUGGAGUGCGGCAGAGGGGGAUGGAAUUCCGCGUGUAGCAGUGAAAUGCGUAGAUAUGCGGAGGAACACCGAUGGCGAAGGCAAUCCCCUGGGCCUGCACUGACGCUCAUGCACGAAAGCGUGGGGAGCAAACAGG
rnacentral:rRNA from 1 species